UACGUAGGGGGCAAGCGUUGUCCGGAUUCAUUGGGCGUAAAGAGCGUGUAGGCGGCCAGGUAGGUCGGUUGUGAAAUCUCGGGGCUUAACUCCGAAACUGCAUUCGAUACUGCCGUGCUUGAGGACUGGAGAGGAGACUGGAAUUUACGGUGUAGCGGUGAAAUGCGUAGAUAUCGUAAGGAAGACCAGUGGCGAAGGCGGGUCUCUGGACAGUUCCUGACGCUGAGGCACGAAGGUCAGGGGAGCAAACGGG
rnacentral:rRNA from 1 species